rnacentral:sRNA from 20 species
AGUUGAUGCACAUGGCGGUUUUCCUCCCAGUUCCGCUGCAACAGCUGUUCCCCUCUGGAGGUUCAUACCUUCAAACUCACGGGCCGCGGUUUUUCCGGCGGCCCUUUUUU